CUCCUGGCGGGUGGAGGCAGCGGCUGCGGCGGCAGCGGAAGGGGAAGCGCUGAAGUGGCUGGGCCCACGGCCAUGGCGGAACCGGUGCAGGAGGAGCUCUCGGCCCUGGCCGCGAUUUUCUGCGGGCCCCACGAGUGGGAGGUGCUGAGCCGCUCAGAGACAGAUGGAACCGUGUUCAGAAUUCACACAAAAGCUGAAGGAUUUACGGAUGCGGAUAUACCUCUGGAACUGGUGUUCCAUUUGCCAGUCAAUUAUCCUUCAUGUCUACCUGGUAUCUCGGUUAACUCUGAACAGUUGACCAGGGCCCAGUGUGUGACUGUGAAAGAGAAGUUACUUGAGCAAGCAGAGAGCCUUUUGUCAGAGCCUAUGGUUCAUGAGCUGGUUCUCUGGAUUCAGCAGAAUCUCAGGCAUAUCCUCAACCAACCGGAAACUGGAAGUGGCAACGCAGAAUGUACUUUUUCAACAAGCACGACCGUGGAUGAUGGAUUGUGGAUAACUCUUUUGCAUUUAGAUCACAUGAGAGCAAAGACUAAAUAUGUCAAAACUGUGGAGAAGUGGGCUUCAGAUUUAAGGCUGACAGGAAGACUGAUGUUCAUGGGUAAAAUGAUACUGAUUUUACUACAAGGAGACAGAAACAACCUCAAGGUGCCAAAAAGUUAAAUGAGUACCUGAUUCUUCAGAAAACCUCCAAAGUAGAUGUGGACUCAAGUGGAAAGAAAUGCAAAGAGAAAAUGAUGAGUGUACUGUUUGAAACAAAAGUACAGACAGAACACAAAAGGUUUUUGGCAUUUGAAGUCAAAGAGUAUUCAGCGUUGGAUGAAUUACAAAAGGAAUUUGAAGCUGCAGGACUUAAGAAGCUUUUCUCUGAAUUUGUACUUGCGCUGGUAAAAUGAAAUGGAAGACAGAAAUCUUUUAGUAAAAUAGCAGUGUUUUUUGUUGUUUUUGCAUUGGAUUUUGGGAGUAGUUAAUUGAAAUAGUCACCAGGGAGUAAUUUUGAAGUUUCUCUGAAAUAAAAUGAUAGGCAUCAUCCUAACUUCAGGAACAAAAGCCAGUUGUUUCAUGAAAUAUUAAACAUGAAGAAAACUUGUAUAUUAUAAUGUUUGCCAGGAAAGGCUAGGUUCAGUAGAUGAGACAUUAUUUAAAAGAUAAAAUUUAAAAGAUGGUAAAUGAACACUUGUUUUUAUGGACAAAAUUUGUUUGGAACUAUGCAAUUUUCUGGCUAAUUUUCUUGUAAUUAAAUGAUUUUUUAAAAAGUGAUUUGUUUUUAUGUUUACUUUUUUUGUGUUUAUAUUUUUAGUAUUUGAUCACCAUUUUCCCCCAUUCAGCUUAUGUCUAAUGUUUUAAUAAAUGUUAAGAAAAAUACAACACUGAUUUUUUUAUGGAACUGCAUAAAUUGUUAGUUUAAAUACAAAGUUCUAUAGAACCAGAUAUACAGUUUCUUUUUGAGAGGGUUCUAGAGUAGCAUGGUACUUGCUAGUCUUAGGACUAGAGAUUUGAUUCCAAUUAAAAUUCUUAUUUGAAAAAUUGACCUUCUUGUUUUAUAAGAAGAAAAAUGUUUAUAUAGAACGAACCUGGCUUGCUAGAUGGAGGAAAUUAUUUGCCAAUACUAUUUUUUCUUUCUUAUGAAAUCUGUCAAAACAUGGUAAAAUAUAUUUAUCAUGACCUAAUGAGAGAAGAGGCCAUAAGAUAAAACUUAUAUUAAAAUCUGUAAUAAAAAUGUAAGUAGACAUUUAUAUCUCAGAAAGGAUAUUUGUAUGCAUGAAGCCACUUGGCCUGCUAAAAUAAGGGGCUGAGUCAUGGAAGAAAGGCCAAGUGAAUCCCUUUCACUGCCACUUAUGAAGUAUAGUGAUAUCAUUAUACAAUUAUAACUGAUCGUGGAGGGAAGUGAGGAGAACAUUGUGGCAGGCUGAGCAGUGUUUCCUGAUAGUACUUGUCUGUGAUGAUGUCAGUUCAAUCUGAUUGUCUUAUUUUCAGGUACCUUUGUAAUUUAUACCUAUCUGUUUAUGGAGUUUCUUUAAUGAGGAGGUUCUCAGUUUAUUUAAUCUCAUUCUGGCGUAUUUAUGAUUUUUUUUUUUUUUUUUUUUUGGAGAACUGGUAAAUGUGGUUAGAUUGUUCUAUGGGAAGAGCAUGAAUAGCAAGGAGAAGCUUCCCUUCUGGAAUGCAGAACUGAGAAAAUAGGUCUGAAAAUUUGGGGCUGCUCAUUAUUACCCCUUCCUUUGAUUUCCUGUAGUUUCAGUGAAAAGUAAUGAAAAGGAAUAGAGUUGAGAAUAUUGGCCAUAUGAUUGAGAUGGAUUGAGGGUGAUCAUAACAACAUUUUCCCUGGACUCUUCUCUGCAAAAAUAUCCUUCUGCUUAUGCUUUCUGGUGCCCUUUUAGCCUUUCAUCUUCAAAUUGGACUCUUUACAGAAGAGUUUGAAUCAGAUCAACUUGAAUGUUCACUGUAAUGACUUUCUCUAACUUAAUGAUAUUUCUAUCUGCUAAAAUUGUUUUUAAAAAGUAUUGGUUAUUAUUACUUUCUUGGAUGUUUACAUCUAAGUCUUUGGUGUAUACAUACACAUCAGAAUGGAAAAGUAAACCUUGACAGAGUUAGCGGUUUAUAUAAAUGUAAUUUGACCUCUGGAUAAAAUAAAAUUUAAAAUUAUAUACCACAA